UUUGAAGAAAUGGUUCAUUUGUUGCGAAGCUGGUUUUAUGUGGAAGUUUGUUUUGCUUUUAAUUCUGUUAUUGUGAUUUCUGAAGUCGAAACUACAUGCUGAUUUAUUGGUUAUUUUGUGCUCAAUACGAAAGGACAGUUAUUACGAAAAAGAAAUGCAGAUGGACUUCAUCCUCUUAACUUUAAAAUGAGCAAUUCUCAACCGGGAUUGCAAGAUGGACUCCUAAUAUUCUCCUGCAUCAAGAAUAAAGGUUUUAAAGCCGAUCUGGGUUUGCUUUUUCUGGACGAAGUCGCUCAUCUUGCAACUCUUCAACGUUCUGAAAUUAACUAGUCAGCUGUAUUGUGAAAUGACUGAAGACUUCAGAUUCGAUACCCGAUUCCACACGAAGAGCCAUCGUGUAAGCGGGCCUGGUGCACGCUAACUCCGUUGAGACCAAAUGUUAUCCCUUUGGUGUGGUGUGGAAGUUUGGAGAGGGUGCGCCAUCUCAGAUGUCGUCCUCGUCAUCUGACCGCAGUUCAAAAUUUACGUCCUAAAAUAGCCCUAUUGUUGCUUUAAAACGGGACGUUAAUAUAAUUUAACUAAAUAUUUUUACACUGCUUUGUAUAGCAAUAUGAGAUAAUGUAUACGAAUAUUCAUGACUGUGAAUGUACAAAAAUU